UACAGAGGGGGCAAGCGUUGUUCGGAAUUACUGGGCGUAAAGGGCGCGUAGGCGGCCUGUUAAGUCGAACGUGAAAUCCCCGGGCUCAACCCGGGAACUGCGUCCGAUACUGGCAGGCUUGAAUCCGGGAGAGGGAUGUGGAAUUCCAGGUGUAGCGGUGAAAUGCGUAGAUAUCUGGAGGAACACCUGUGGCGAAAGCGGCUCACUGGACCAUAACUGACGCUGAUGCGCGAAAGCUAGGGGAGCAAACAGG
rnacentral:rRNA from 1 species